GACAGAGGGUGCAAACGUUGUUCGGAAUUACUGGGCGUAAAGCGCACGUAGGCGGCUUGGUAUGUCGGGUGUGAAAUCCCCGGGCUCAACCUGGGAACUGCAUCCGAAACUGCCUUGCUCGAGUAUGGGAGAGGGAAGUGGAAUUCCGGUGUAGCGGUGAAAUGCGUAGAUAUCGGAAGGAACAUCAGUGGCGAAGGCGACUUCCUGGACCAAUACUGACGUCAGGUGCGGAAAGUCC
rnacentral:rRNA from 1 species